AUAGUGACGGUACCAUAUGAAUAAGCACCGGCUAACUCCGUGCCAGCAGCCGCGGUAAUACGGAGGGUGCAAGCGUUACUCGGAAUCACUGGGCGUAAAGCGCGCGCAGGCGGCUAUUUAAGUUGGAUGUGAAAGGCUACGGCUCAACCGUAGAACUGCAUCCAAAACUAUUUAGCUAGAGUGUGGGAGAGGAAGAUGGAAUUAGUUGUGUAGGGGUAAAAUCCGUAGAGAUAACUAGGAAUACCAAAAGCGAAGGCAAUCUUCUGGAACACUACUGACGCUGAGGCGCGAAAGCGUGGGGAGCAAACAGGAUUAGAUACCCUGGUAGUCCACGCAGUAAACGAUGAAUGUUAGUCGUCGGGUAGCUAGUCUAUUCGGUGAUGCAGCUAACGCAUUAAACAUUCCGCCUGGGGAGUACGGUCGCAAGAUUAAAACUCAAAGGAAUAGACGGGGACCCGCACAAGUGGUGGAGCAUGUGGCUUAAUUCGAAGAUACGCGAAGAACCUUACCUAGCCUUGACAUAUUUUAGAACACUUUAGAGAUAGAGUGGCGCCUUCGGGAGCUAAUUUACAGGUGCUGCACGGCUGUCGUCAGCUCGUGUCGUGAGAUGUUGGGUUAAGUCCCGCAACGAGCGCAACCCUCGUCACUGGUUACUAACGGUUCGGCCGAGGACUCUAGUGAGACUGCCUUCGUAAGGAGGAGGAAGGUGAGGACGACGUCAAGUCAUCAUGGCCCUUACGGCUAGGGCAACACACGUGCUACAAUGGUUGGGACAAUGAGACGCAAUACCGCGAGGUGGAGCAAAUCUAUAAACCCAAUCUCAGUUCGGAUUGUUCUCUGCAACUCGAGAACAUGAAGCUGGAAUCACUAGUAAUCGUAGAUCAGCUAUGCUACGGUGAAUACGUUCCCGGGUCUUGUACACACCGCCCGU
rnacentral:rRNA from 1 species